rnacentral:rRNA from 1 species
GUGCCAGCAGCCGCGGUAAUACGGAAGGGGCUAGCGUUGUUCGGAAUCACUGGGCGUAAAGCGCGCGUAGGCGGCCGGUCGAGUGAGGCGUGAAAGUCCUGGGCUCAACCCGGGGACGGCGCUUCAGACUGUCCGGCUGGAGUCCGGGAGAGGGUGGUGGAAUUCCGAGUGUAGAGGUGAAAUUCGUAGAUAUUCGGAGGAACACCGGUGGCGAAGGCGGCCACCUGGCCCGGUACUGACGCUCAAGCGCGAAAGCGUGGGGAGCAAACAGGAUUAGAUACCCCCGUAGUCC